rnacentral:rRNA from 1 species
UUGACUCACGCGGGAAUCUUACCGGGUCCGGACACACUGAGGAUUGACAGGUUAUGGGGCGGGUUGAAUUUCAAUCUCUUCGGGGAUUAAUUUUCUCCCACCUCAAAAAUAUGCUAGUCCUUUCAUGAUUAUGUGAUAGGUGGUGCAUGGCCGUUCUUAGUUCGUGGAGUGAUCUGUCUGCUUAAUUGCGUUUCACUAAAGGCGUCAUUAAUUUUUUGUGCCUGUGUUUGACCCCGCACUUCGGUGCGCGCGCGUCUUUCACACACAAUUACUUUGACGUCUGAAAGCAACGAACGUGACCGUAACCUCUUGUUGCCUUCUCUUCUCUUCGGAGAAUGCUGCUUUAUACCUUUACGGGUGUAUCGCAGUAUACGGAGGCUUAAUACUCAGUAACUAGAGGGACCGCUGUUACUUUCUUUAAACCAGAGGAAGGUUGCGGCAAUAACAGGUCUGUGAUGCCCUUAGAUGUUCCGGGCUGCACACGUGAUACAUUGAUUACUUCAGUGAGUAUCUACGUAUUACUGCGCAGCAGUAUACGCGUGUUGUUUAUUGCUUCGGCAAUUUACUUUGCGCUAUACGCCGCCUUAACCUACUUCGAAAGUAUGUGGGUAACCAAUUAGAAGUAGUGAUUUCCCUCUUUAUAAGCACACUUAUAUGGAGCAUCAUCACCCGGCAUGCCUUGUGCAUGUUUUGUGUGUGUUGUUUGUCUACAUGUGCUUUUGUCAAUUCAUAGUGGGGACAGACCAUUGUUAAUUGUUGGUCUCGGUCUUAACUAGGAAUGCCUUGUACGAGUUUUUGGUUCAACAAACCACUCGGAAUACGUCCCUGCCCUUUGUACACACCGCCCGUCGCUCUUACCGAUGGAUUAUAUUAUGAGUUGGCAGGACCGUCCAGGAAAUGCCUGCGAAUAAUGUGAUCUAAAGGAAAGAGAAGUCGUAACAAGGCAUCGGUAGGUGAACCU